rnacentral:rRNA from 1 species
AUUGAACGCUGGCGGCAGGCUUAACACAUGCAAGUCGAGCGGGGUGAUGGUGCUUGCACUAUCACUUAGCGGCGGACGGGUGAGUAAUGCUUAGGAAUCUGCCUAUUAGUGGGGGACAACAUCUCGAAAGGGAUGCUAAUACCGCAUACGUCCUACGGGAGAAAGCAGGGGAUCACUUGUGACCUUGCGCUAAUAGAUGAGCCUAAGUCGGAUUAGCUAGUUGGUGGGGUAAAGGCCUACCAAGGCGACGAUCUGUAGCGGGUCUGAGAGGAUGAUCCGCCACACGGGGACUGAGACACGGCCCAGACCCCUACGGGAGGCAGCAGUGGGGAAUAUUGGACAAUGGGGGAAACCCUGAUCCAGCCAUGCCGCGUGUGUGAAGAAGGCCUUAUGGUUGUAAAGCACUUUAAGCGAGGAGGAGGCUCUUUUGGUUAAUACCCAAGAUGAGUGGACGUUACUCGCAGAAUAAGCACCGGCUAACUCUGUGCCAGCCGCCGCCGUAA